CCUACGGGAGGCAGCAGUGGGGAAUAUUGGGCAAUGGAGGCAACUCUGACCCAGCAACGCCGCGUGAAUGAUGAAGGUCUUCAGAUUGUAAAGUUCUGUGAUGGGGGAUGAACACAAUGACGGUACCCCAAUAGCAAGCCACGGCUAACUACGUGCCAGCAGCCGCGGUAAUACGUAGGUGGCAAGCGUUAUCCGGAAUGACUGGGCGUAAGGGGUGCGUAGGUGGUUUAGUAAGUUGGCGGUGUAAUUCCGGGGCUCAACCUCGGCGCUACCGCCAAAACUAUUAGACUAGAGUGCAGGAGGGGUAAGUGGAAUUCCUAGUGUAGCGGUGGAAUGCGUAGAUAUUAGGAGGAACAUCAGGGGCGAAGGCGACUGACUGGACUGUAGCUGACACUGAGGCACGAAAGCGUGGGGAGCAAACAGGAUUAGAUACCCCAGUAGUC
rnacentral:rRNA from 1 species